AAGAAGGAGGCGGCUGCACCCGCUCGCUUCCCGCGUAGGGAAAGGUGGAGCCCGGCUCUCCGCCGCCCGGAAGGCGCGGGGCGCGCCCGGAAACCGGCGGCGGGCGAGAGGCGGUGCCGCGGCUGCCACGUUGGAGCGGGCCGGGGACGGGUGAGCGCCGAGGACGCGGAGUGAAAUGAAGUUGAAGGAAAUUGAUCGUACUGCCAUGCAGGCAUGGAGCCCUGCCCAGCAGCACCCCAUUUACCUAGCCACAGGUACAUCAGCUCAGCAGCUGGAUGCCACCUUCAGUACAAGUGCUUCUCUAGAAAUAUUUGAGUUGGACUUAUCAGACCCUUCGCUGGACAUGAAGUCCUGCGCCACCUUCUCCUCCACUCACAGGUACCACAAGCUUAUCUGGGGGCCACACAGCAUGACCUCGGGUGAGAGAGUCUCUGGAGUCCUGAUUGCUGGUGGUGAAAACGGAAAUGUCAUUCUGUACGACCCAGCCAAAAUCAUAGCUGGAGACACUGAAGUAAUAAUUGCCCAGAAAGAUAAGCACACGGGACCAGUAAGAGCACUUGAUGUCAACAUGUUCCAGACUAAUCUGGUGGCCUCUGGUGCUAAUGAGUCUGAAAUCUAUAUCUGGGACUUGAACAAUUUUGCCACGCCAAUGACACCAGGAGUGAAGACACAGCCUCUUGAGGACAUCAGCUGCAUUGCAUGGAACAGGCAAGUCCAGCAUAUCCUGGCAUCUGCCAGCCCUAGCGGCCGAGCUACUGUGUGGGAUCUCAGGAAGAAUGAACCCAUCAUCAAAGUCAGUGACCACAAUAACCGGAUGCACUGCUCAGGCCUGGCGUGGCACCCUGAUGUUGCUACCCAGAUGGUUUUGGCCUCAGAAGAUGACAGGCUGCCUGUGAUUCAGAUGUGGGACCUAAGAUUUGCCUCCUCGCCACUUCGUGUUCUAGAAAGCCAUACAAGGGGUAUAUUGGCCAUUGCUUGGAGUAUGGCGGAUUCGGAGCUGCUACUUAGCUGUGGGAAGGAUGCUAAAAUUCUCUGCUCCAACCCGAACACGGGCGAGGUGCUGUAUGAGUUGCCCACAAACACACAAUGGUGCUUUGACAUCCAGUGGUGUCCCAGGAACCCUGCUGUCUUGUCUGCGGCUUCAUUCGACGGGCGGAUCAGCGUUUACUCCAUCAUGGGAGGUAGCACGGAUGGCUUGAGGCAGAAGCAAGUUGAUCAGCUUUCAUCGUCUUUUGGGAACCUCGAUCCAUUUGGUAUGGGACAGCCACUCCCACCCCUGCAGCUUCCCCAGCAAACAGCCCCACAGAGUGUCAUUUUGCCCCUAAAGAAACCACCCAAAUGGAUCCGGCGACCUGUGGGAGCAUCGUUCUCGUUUGGAGGCAAGCUGGUUACAUUUGAGAAUGCCAAGUCUCAGCAGCAGCCAGGCAUCGAGCAGCAGCAGCGUCACCAUGUCUACCUUAGCCAGGUUGUUACAGAGAAGGAAUUCCUGGCCCGCUCGAACCAGCUGCAAGAGGCUGUGCAGUCUGAAGGCUUUGUCAGCUACUGCCAGAAGAAAAUUGACAUGGCCCGGGCUGACUUUGAGAAAAACGUGUGGGCCUUCUUAAAGGUGAACUUUGAAGAAGAUUCACGUGUUAAAUACCUUGAGCUCUUGGGAUACAGGAAGGGUGAUCUGAGGAAGAAGAUUACAUCCGCUCUGAAUAAAGAGGGUCUUGCAGAUGGUGACUUUGGAGAGGCUCCCACAGAAUCUGAUGAAUCUGUGCCGAACAAGGGGGACGAAGGCCAGGCUACAGAGGAGCAGUUCUUGGGAGAGAGAGUGAAUGACCAUAAACAAGAAACUGAAGAUUUGGGAUCUGCAAAGAAGACAUUUAACAUCUCUGUUAGUGGAGAUGUGGACGGUUUGAUUACCCAGGCUUUGCUGACGGGUAACUUUGAGAGCGCAGUAGAUCUCUGCUUGCACGAUAACCGCAUGGCUGACGCCAUUAUCUUGGCCAUCGCAGGCGGACAAGAACUGCUUUCUAGGACACAGGAAAAGUACUUUGCUAAGAUGCAGAGCAAAAUUACCAGGCUUAUCACUGCAGUGGUAACGAAGAACUGGGAAGAGAUUGUGCAGUCCUGUGAUCUGCAGAAUUGGAGAGAGGCUUUGGCUGCUGUGCUCACUUAUGCAAGGCCAGAUGAGUUUGCAGCCCUUUGCGAUCUCCUGGGUAACAGGCUGGAGAGUGAGGGGGACAGCCUUCUGCAGACACAGGCUUGUCUCUGUUACAUUUGUGCUGGCAACGUGGAAAAACUUGUUGCUUGUUGGACCAAAGCUCAGGAUGGAAACAGCCCCUUAUCCCUUCAGGAUUUAAUAGAGAAGGUUGUAAUCCUGCGCAAAGCCGUGCAGCUCACCCAGGCUGUGGACCCUAAUGCUGUGGGGGCCCUUUUGGCUGAGAAGAUGAGCCAGUACGCCAACCUCCUGGCUGCCCAAGGCAGCAUUGCUGCAGCUUUGACCUUCCUCCCUGCAAACACCAACCAGCCAAACAUCAUACUGUUACGGGACAGGCUCUGCAGAGCCCAAGGGGAGCUCCCAGUGGGACAGGAGGCCCUAAAGGCACCAUAUGAGAGACAGCCCAUGCCCAAAGGACAAGCUGCCCCUGUGGCUGGACAGAUGCAAGGGCCCCAGGCUCCGGCCCAGCAGUAUUACCAACAGGGAGACAACCCACCUGCUCCAGGGUUUAUCAUGCCAGGUGCUGUUAACCCCAACAUGCCACCGCAGCAAGCCACAUCUUCCAAUUACAGCAUGUACUCACAAGGAGGGGCCCGGCCAACGUACCCACAGACAUAUCAGGCCACACAGCAGUACUCUUGUGGAACAGGGGGACCAGCUCUCUACCAGCCUCAGCAGCCUAUCGCUGUCCCUUCUUCAGCCUCUUACCCAAACCCUGCCCCUAACACCACGACUCCCUACCUGCCCUCUGCCUCUGCCCAUUCCGUGCCCUCCCCGCUCUACCCUGGGCAGCCUCAACCCUCCCCAACAAGCCUGAAUCCCAUCUCUUCCUUCCCUCUUCCUCCUUCUGCUGCAUCCUUUCAGCAUGGCAGGCCAGGACCUCCAGCAACUUCUGUGGCUUAUGCAUUACCUGCUGGACCAACAGGUACUCUGCCUGCAACCAGUGAGCUUCCUGCAUCCCAGAGAACAGGGCCUCAGAAUGGCUGGAAUGACCCUCCUGCCCUGAACAGAGCUGCCAAGAAGAAGAAGGUCCCUGAUAACUUCCUGCCCCCGGUUCCCAUCACCUCCCCCAUCAUGAACCCGCUGGCAGAUCCACAGUCUCAGAUGCAGCAGCCUCCGGCUCCAGCACCACCCACAGCUGCACCCAGCUUCCAGCCUCCGCACCUCCCUGCAGGACAGCUGGUGCUGCAGGGUGGCUACCCACCUGCUUCCCAGCCUCUGGGGCCAUGCAUCAUGCCACCCACUGUUUCCAAACCCAGCACAGAGGGGGCCCCUGGGGCCCCAAUUGGCAAUGCCAUCCAGUUGAAAAUUACAUAUGGUCACAGUGACCUGGAAAAGCCUCACCUGCUCUGUUUCUCAGCAUGUGCAGGCACUCCCAACAGAGAAGAUUACAAAGAAGCCCAUCCCUGAGGAGCACCUUAUUCUGAAGACUACGUUUGAAGCUCUUAUCCAGAGGUGCCUGCUGUCUGCCUCUGAUCCGCAAACCAAGAGGAAACUAGAUGAUGCAAAUAAACGCCUGGAGUUUCUAUAUGACAAACUUAGGGAACAGACACUCUCUCCAACCAUCAUUAGCGGUUUGCACAACAUUGUGAAGAGCAUUGAAACCCACAACUACCAGGAAGGACUGAACAUCCACACGCACAUAGUCAGCACCAGCAACUUCAGCGAGACCUCUGCUUUCAUGCCCGUUCUGAAAGUUGUCCUCACCCAGGCCAAUAAGCUGGGUGUUUGAAGUAACCCUGCAUUUGCAAAGCCUUGAUGGUUGCUUUUCCAAAGAAGUGCAUUUCUACAGCAAAUAUGCAGGAAAUGGACCGAAUGCUAGUCCUUAUGGCAUGUGGCAGUAGAGCGCUGACAAAUGGCAUUACACUUUCCCUGCAAAAUACUUCAUUCUAGGAGGGCUGUGGAGCCCUGGUGCUUUUCUUUUUAUUUUAAUCCUUUUCCUAUCCCUAAUGAUUCUUGUCUACAAAUAGUAUAUUUAAUGGAUGAUGCCCAAUAUUGUCAAUUUUUAGAUGCAUGUUAUACUGCUGAUCGGUGGCUUUUAAUAACAGAUGUAUGUGUUAAAACAACAAGAUAGGUUGUGUAUCAGACCCUAAAACAGAUUAUUCCCUUCCACCCCACUGUUCCUUACCCACCAGAUUAAAGAGUCUGAUUGUAUUAUAACUGUAUUUGGUCUUUUAUUUUAUGAAGCUGCUUGCAGUUCUGUUAUUACAAUUUACAUGUUAAAUAGCUUAAAUUUGCACUGGGGCAAAUGAGCAAAAUAAAGGCUAAUGUGGUAUUUUCAAUAAAUGU